AGUGAACGCUGGCGGUAGGCCUAACACAUGCAAGUCGAACGGCAGCACAGUAAGAGCUUGCUCUUACGGGUGGCGAGUGGCGGACGGGUGAGGAAUACAUCGGAAUCUACUUUUUCGUGGGGGAUAACGUAGGGAAACUUACGCUAAUACCGCAUACGACCUACGGGUGGAAGCAGGGGAUCUUCGGACCUUGCGCGAUUGAAUGAGCCGAUGUCGGAUUAGCUAGUUGGCGGGGUAAAGGCCCACCAAGGCGACGAUCCGUAGCUGGUUUGAGAGGAUGAUCAGCCACACUGGAACUGAGACACGGUCCAGACUCCUACGGGAGGCAGCAGUGGGGAAUAUUGGACAAUGGGCGCAAGCCUGAUCCAGCCAUACCGCGUGGGUGAAGAAGGCCUUCGGGUUGUAAAGCCCUUUUGUUGGGAAAGAAAAGCAGCAGGUUAAUACCCCGCUGUUCUGACGGUACCCAAAGAAUAAGCACCGGCUAACUUCGUG
rnacentral:rRNA from 1 species